GACGGGGGAUGCAAGCGUUAUCCGGAAUCACUGGGCGUAAAGCGUCUGUAGGUGGUGAUGCAAGUCACUGGUGCAAAACUCUGGCUCAACCGGAGGAAAGCCAGUGAAACUGCAUGACUAGAGUGUGGGAGAGGUAGAAGGAAUUCCCUGAGUAGCGGUGAAAUGCGUAGAUACAGGGAAGAACACCGGAGGCGAAAGCGCGCAACUGGAACACAACUGACGCUGAGGGACGAAAGCUAGGGGAGCGAAUGGG
rnacentral:rRNA from 1 species